rnacentral:rRNA from 1 species
AUUGAACGAUGGCGGCAUGCUUUACACAUGCAAGUCGGACGAGUGGCGAACGGGUGAGUAACGCAUCGGAACGUACCGAGUAAUGGGGGAUAACUGUCCGAAAGGACAGCUAAUACCGCAUAUUAUUCGACCGGCCGAUGUCUGAUUAGCUGGUUGGCGGGGUAAAGGCCCACAAAGGCGACGAUAAGUAGCGGGUCUGAGAGGAUGAUCAGGCACACUGGGAUGGAGACACGGCCCAGACUCGUACGGGAGGCAGCAGUGGGGAAUUUUGGACAAGUGGCGAAAGCCUGAUCCAGCCAUGCCGCGUGUCUGAAGAAGGCCUUCGGGUGGGAAAGGACUUGUGUCAGGGAAGCGGUACCUGAAGAAUAAGCACCGGCUAACUACGUGCCAGCAGCCGCGGUAAUAC